rnacentral:rRNA from 1 species
CCUACGGGAGGCAGCAGUGGGGAAUCUUGCGCAAUGGGCGAAAGCCUGACGCAGCCAUGCCGCGUGAAUGAUGAAGGUCUUAGGAUUGUAAAAUUCUUUCACCGAGGACGAUAAUGACGGUACUCGGAGAAGAAGCCCCGGCUAACUUCGUGCCAGCAGCCGCGGUAAUACGAAGGGGGCUAGCGUUGCUCGGAAUUACUGGGCGUAAAGGGAGCGUAGGCGGAUAGUUUAGUCAGAGGUGAAAGCCCAGGGCUCAACCUUGGAAUUGCCUUUGAUACUGGCUAUCUUGAGUACGGAAGAGGUAUGUGGAACUCCGAGUGUAGAGGUGAAAUUCGUAGAUAUUCGGAAGAACACCAGUGGCGAAGGCGACAUACUGGUCCGUUACUGACGCUGAGGCUCGAAAGCGUGGGGAGCAAACAGGAUUAGAUACCCUGGUAGUCCACGCUGUAAACGAUGAGUGCUAGUUGUCGGCAUGCAUGCAUGUCGGUGACGCAGCUAACGCAUUAAGCACUCCGCCUGGGGAGUACGGUCGCAAGNUUAAAACUUAAAUGAAUUGACGG